rnacentral:rRNA from 1 species
UGGGGAAUAUUGCACAAUGGGCGAAAGCCUGAUGCAGCGACGCCGCGUGCGGGAUGAAGGCCUUCGGGUUGUAAACCGCUUUUAAUUGGGAGCAAGCGAGAGUGAGUGUACCUUUUGAAUAAGCACCGGCUAACUACGUGCCAGCAGUCGCGGUAAUACGUAGGGUGCAAGCGUUAUCCGGAAUUAUUGGGCGUAAAGAGCUCGUAGGCGGUUUGUCACGCCUGGUGUGAAAGUCCAUCGCUUAACGGUGGAUCUGCGCCGGGUACGGGCAGGCUAGAGUGCAGUAGGGGAGAUUGGAAUUCCCGGUGUAACGGUGGAAUGUGUAGAUAUCGGGAAGAACACCAAUGGCGAAGGCAGAUCUCUGGGCUGUUACUGACGCUGAGGAGCGAAAGCAUGGGGAGCGAACAGGAUUAGAUACCCUGGUAGUCCAUGCCGUAAAACGGUGGAUGCUGGAUGUGGGACCCUUCCACGGGUUCCGUGUCGGAGCUAACGCGUUAAGC